CAGCCGUAAACUAUGCGCGUUAGGUGUACCGGUGACCACGAGUCACCGAGGUGCCGAAGGGAAACCGUGAAACGUGCCGCCUGGGAAGUACGGUCGCAAGGCUGAAACUUAAAGGAAUUGGCGGGGGGAGGCACCACAACGGGUGGAGCCUGCGGUUUAAUUUGGACUCAACGCCGGGAAGCUCACCGGAUAAGACAGCGGAAUGAUUGCCGGGCUGAAGACUCUGCAUGACUAGAAACUGAGAGGUGGUGCAUGGCGUAGACGUCU
rnacentral:rRNA from 1 species